rnacentral:rRNA from 1 species
CGUAGACUAGGUGAAUCAUCGAAUCUUUGAACGCAUCUUGCACUUUUUAGGUCUCCUAAAAAGUAAUACUUGUUUGAGUAUCAUAAACACACACCUCCAAGCUUGUCUUGGGAUUUGAGACGUCAAGUUAGCUCGCUAACAUGUGUCUUUUAAUUGAUAUGUCCAGUGUUCUAUUGGUAGCCUAGCUACCCUUAGAAGCCUCCUCAAUCAAAUGUGAGAUAAACAUCGCACAAAGUAGUUGGUAGGUUAAGCUAGACUACGCUCAGAGGCAGCAAUGCUUCAACUCUGAACUGUGAUCUCAAAUCAAGUAAGACUACCCGCUGAACUUAAGCAUAUCAAUAAGCGGAGG